rnacentral:ncRNA from 1 species
CUAUGUUAUUGAUAUUAGAUGUUUUAAGCAUUAAAAUGCUUCAUUUUAUAGUUUUUCCAAUAUUAAACUAUCCCCAAUACAAAUCCAGCCUGGUAUCAUGAAUAAUCUUAGUGAUAUGUUGUUGUAGCUUUGGUAAUAUUUAAAUUUUUUUGCAUUCAUGUUUAGUACAGCUUUAGUGUUUUAGUACAGACCGUGCAAAUCGGUUGUCCGACCUGGGUAUAGGGGCAAAAGACUAAUCGAACCAUCUAGUAUCUGGUUCCCUCCAAAGUUUCCCUCAGGAUAGCUGGCGCUCUCGCAGCGGGCGGGCAGAGCUGUUUUCCCCCUCCUCGAGCUUGUGCCCUUCCUCCGGGAAGGUGCAGGGCACCCUUGGCACCCGCCGGCAUGCAGUUUUAUCCGGUCAAGUGAAUGAUUAGAGGUCUUGGGGCCGAAACAAUCUCAACCUAUUCUCAAACUUUCAAUGGGUAAGAAGCCUGGCUCACUGGCUUGGAGCCGGGCGUGGAAUGUGAGUGCCCAGUGGGUCACUUUUGGUAAGCAGAACUGGGGCUGGAUCAGAAUAGAGAGAUACUCAAAAGUGAUGGGGGCCUGCACCAAGAUGGUGGCUGUGUGAGUGGAGAGAAGGGGACAUAUAUAAAAAAAAAUUUUCCAGAU